AACGAACGCUGGCGGCAGGUUUAACACAUGCAAGUCGAGCGCCCCGCAAGGGGAGCGGCAGACGGGUGAGUAACGCGUGGGAAUCUACCUUUUGCUACGGAAUAACUCAGGGAAACUUGUGCUAAUACCGUAUGUGCCCUUCGGGGGAAAGAUUUAUCGGCAAAGGAUGAGCCCGCGUUGGAUUAGCUAGUUGGUGGGGUAAAGGCCCACCAAGGCGACGAUCCAUAGCUGGUCUGAGAGGAUGAUCAGCCACACUGGGACUGAGACACGGCCCAGACGCCUCCGGGAGGCAGCAGUGGGGAAUAUUGGACAAUGGGCGCAAGCCUGAUCCAGCCAUGCCGCGUGAGUGAUGAAGGCCCUAGGGUUGUAAAGCUCUUUCACCGGUGAAGAUAAUGACGGUAACCGGAGAAGAAGCCCCGGCUAACUACGUGCCAGCAGCCGCCGUAAAAC
rnacentral:rRNA from 1 species